rnacentral:misc_RNA from 1 species
GAACAUCAGGUACUUUAGUCUUUGACAAAUUCUUAUUUUUAUAUUAAUAUUAUUCUUUUUGAUAUUAUAAAUUUAUUGAUAGAUUCCAAAGGAAAGGAGCUGUAGCAAAGUACUCUGGAAUUACAGAAAUUAGUGCCAAUAUAGGAAAAAAUAGAAGUGAAACAUCAGACUGCAAAGCUUAGAACUCAAAAUUAUGCCAAUGUGUUUGCAAAUUCUCCCUGUCUUCUCCCCUCUCACACUGUAAUUUCUUCAUUUGAGAAAUUAGAAAAGAUCACAGUUAGUGAAUCUAUCUGAUUGGGAAUUUGUAGUUUUCUGGAUGUUGACAUGAAGGAACAAACAUUUGGCGCUUUAACUAAUCUUAUAGAUGGAUGCUUAGCGUUAUAUAGUUGUUGCAUGAAUUUUCUUUUGUGCAUAAUUGGUUGAUGAAAUUACUAGU